GACGAACGCUGGCGGCGUGCCUAAUACAUGCAAGUCGAGCGAACGGACGAGAAGCUUGCUUCUCUGAUGUUAGCGGCGGACGGGUGAGUAACACGUGGAUAACCUACCUAUAAGACUGGGAUAACUUCGGGAAACCGUAGCUAAUACCGGAUAAUAUUUUGAACCGCAUGGUUCAAAAGUGAAAGACGGUCUUGCUGUCACUUAUAGAUGGAUCCGCGCUGCAUUAGCUAGUUGGUAAGGUAACGGCUUACCAAGGCAACGAUGCAUAGCCGACCUGAGAGGGUGAUCGGCCACACUGGAACUGAGACACGGUCCAGACCCCUACGGGAGGCAGCAGUAGGGAAUCUUCCGCAAUGGGCGAAAGCCUGACGGAGCAACGCCGCGUGAGUGAUGAAGGUCUUCGGAUCGUAAAACUCUGUUAUUCGGGAAGAACAUAUGUGUAAGUAACUGUGCACAUCUUGACGGUACCUAAUCAGAAAGCCACGGCUAACUACGUG
rnacentral:rRNA from 1 species